CCGGGAGUAAAUGUGUUUCUUAUUUUGGAACCUUCUCACAGCAGAUAAGCAAGGCUUGAGCCAAAGUCCUCAGGACACCAAAGGAAGCUGGAACUGUAACACCAGCGCAAGGCUCGCAAGCAAGCUGGCAUGGAGAAGGGGACCAGCUACACCUGGUUGAGGAGGAGUCGUGCAGAGUAUGCAGUGCAAUGUGCAUCCCCAGGGCAUUUGGAGGCAAUGAGUAUCAGCAGUCAGUGGAAGCGGUCCAGAUAUACAGCAAUGCAGCUGAACAAUAAUUUCACUCUUGAUGAUGGGGGAGCGAAAAUAGCCUGCAGCAGAUGUGAGGCUCAAUGUGUCAGCUCAACCUCAGGGGCAAGAAAAAGAGAAGUUGAAACUGGUUUCUUCCAUCUGAGAUGGCCACAGGCGAAGAGCAAACACACUUGGUCAAUUACCGUGGCUCAGAUGAUGCAUGGUAUUGCCAUUUUCAGGUCAAAUUUUAGAGUUAGUAGGAACUUUUCCAUGGGCUUUGUACAACAAUAUUCCACUGCGCACAGUGAGAAGUUUGAACACCCUUCAUUUCAGAGUCUAAUUUUGAGAUGAACUUGUAUCUUUCUUAAAAAAACAGUGGAAACAAACAAAACAACAAGACCACCAAUAGCAAAAGAAAACCACCGGCCCCAAACUUUCACCUUUCUUCUCAGGUAAGACCUGUUUUCUUACUCCACUCUGUGGGAAAACUAAGAAUACGUUAGCUUAUUUCCAACUGUGAUUUGCUAAACUGAAGCUAAAGAUGGAAGAAUUCCAAACCUAGGAGUCUGGACCCUCUCAAACUAUGACUGGGGCCAGGGAAACAAGGUACCAGACAUCAAAACUUUGGAUGCUUUUUUUCUUUUCAUGUAGUAACUGAAACUCGAGUUCAUCUUUCUCUGCUUCCACAUAAUACAAGGAA
ensembl:lncRNA